AUGAAAGGGAAGAAUCUGGGAACGCAGAAACAGAGAGAGACAGAUCCAAUCUCGGAGGGGCUCUCGCCCCUCCCAUGCCAUGGAGGCCAAGGACCAGAGGGGAAACCCUUCUCCCAUCUAGGGAGGAGGUCAAGGAAGAAGAAGAAGGACGGGGCUCUCUCUCCCUCGAUUCCGGUGGCGCUGGAGUGCCACCGGGGGACAUCAUCAUCACCGCAAUCUUCACCAACAACUUCACCGCCAUCAUCACCAACUCUUCCCCCCUCUAUGCAGCGGUGUAACCUCUCUCUUACCCACUGUAAUCUCUACUUAAACAUGGUGCUCAACGCUAUAUAUUAUUUCCCAAUGAUAUAUGGCUAUCCUAUGAUGUUUGAGUAG
rnacentral:rRNA from 1 species